rnacentral:rRNA from 1 species
GACGAACGCUGGCGGCGUGCCUAAUACAUGCAAGUAGGACGCAGUUGCGAACGGGUGAGUAACGCGUAGGUAACUACCUAUUAGAGGGGGAUAACUAUUGGAAACGAUAGCUAAUACCGCAUACUAGUAGAUGGACCUGCGUUGUAUUAGCUAGUAGGUAGGGUAAUGGCCUACCUAGGCAACGAUACAUAGCCGACCCGAGAGGGAGGACGGCCAAAAUUGGACUGAUGAACCGCCCAGACUUCUACCGGGUGCAGCAGUAGGGAAUCUUCGGCAAUGGGGGGAACCCUGAACGAGCAACGCCGCGGGAGUGAAGAAGGUUUUCGGAUCGGAAAGCUCUGUUGUUAAGGAAGCGGUACUUAACCAGAAAGGGACGGCUAACUACGUGCCAGCCGCCGCGGUAAUUC